rnacentral:rRNA from 1 species
AGUGAACGCUGGCGGCGUGCUUAACACAUGCAAGUCGAACGAGAACGGUCCUAGCUUGCUAGGAUGUCAGCUAAGUGGCGGACGGGUGAGUAAUGUAUAGUUAAUCUGCCCUUCAGAGGGGGAUAACUACUGGAAACGGUAGCUAAUACCCCAUAUACCUUCUAGUGUAAUGCUAGUUGGGAAAUGUCUUUUCGCUGAAGGAUGAGACUAUAUGGUAUCAGGUAGUUGGUAGGGUAAGAGCCUACCAAGCCUAUGACGCCUAGCUGGUCUGAGAGGAUGAUCAGCCACACUGGAACUGAGACACGGUCCAGACUCCUACGGGAGGCAGCAGUGGGGAAUAUUGCACAAUGGGGGAAACCCUGAUGCAGCAACGCCGCGUGGAGGAUGACACAUUUCGGUGCGUAAACUCCUUUUAUAUGGGAAGAUAAUGACGGUACCAUAUGAAUAAGCACCGGCUAACUCCGUGCCAGCAGCCGCGGUAAUACGGAGGGUGCAAGCGUUACUCGGAAUCACUGGGCGUAAAGCGCGCGCAGGCGGCUAUUUAAGUUGGAUGUGAAAGCCUACGGCUCAACCGUAGAACUGCAUCCAAAACUAUUUAGCUAGAGUGUGGGAGAGGAAGAUGGAAUUAGUUGUGUAGGGGUAAAAUCCGUAGAGAUAACUAGGAAUACCAAAAGCGAAGGCAAUCUUCUGGAACACUACUGACGCUGAGGCGCGAAAGCGUGGGGAGCAAACAGGGUUAGAUACCCUGGUAGUCCACGCAGUAAACGAUGAAUGUUAGUCGUCGGGGGCCUAGUGUCUUCGGUGAUGCAGCUAACGCAUUAAACAUUCCGCCUGGGGAGUACGGUCGCAAGAUUAAAACUCAAAGGAAUAGACGGGGACCCGCACAAGUGGUGGAGCAUGUGGUUUAAUUCGAAGAUACGCGAAGAACCUUACCUAGCCUUGACAUAUAUUAGAACUCCGCAGAGAUGCAGAGGUGCCUUCGGGAGCUUUUAUACAGGUGCUGCACGGCUGUCGUCAGCUCGUGUCGUGAGAUGUUGGGUUAAGUCCCGCAACGAGCGCAACCCUCGUCCUUAGUUGCUAACAGGUUAAGCUGAGCACUC